rnacentral:rRNA from 1 species
AGUGAACGCUGGCGGUAGGCCUAACACAUGCCAGUCGAACGGCAGCACAGUAAGAGCUUGCUCUUACGGGUGGCGAGUGGCGGACGGGUGAGGAAUACAUCGGAAUCUACUUUUUCGUGGGGGAUAACGUAGGGAAACUUACGCUAAUACCGCAUACGACCUACGGGUGAAAGCAGGGGAUCUUCGGACCUUGCGCGAUUGAAUGAGCCGAUGUCGGAUUAGCUAGUUGGCGGGGUAAAGGCCCACCAAGGCGACGAUCCGUAGCUGGUCUGAGAGGAUGAUCAGCCACACUGGAACUGAGACACGGUCCAGACUCCUACGGGAGGCAGCAGUGGGGAAUAUUGGACAAUGGGCGCAAGCCUGAUCCAGCCAUACCGCGUGGGUGAAGAAGGCCUUCGGGUUGUAAAGCCCUUUGUUGGGAAAGAAAUCCAGCCGGCUAAUACCUGGUUGGGAUGACGGUACCCAAAGAAUAAGCACCGGCUAACUUCGUG